rnacentral:lncRNA from 10 species
GGGGAUUCAGAAUAUUCUUUGGGCUUGGCCAUCUGCUUUGCCCUGGCAGUGCCACCCCCUCUAACGCCCUCUCCAUCUGCUCCAGUCCUGCUCCUCUGUUGUCUGGAACGCACUGCAGCCUGGAGGAAGAAGUUCUCAAAUUCUGCGUGGGCUUUCUCCACUGUCUCCAAACUUCCAUCCUUGGGGGUCAGUGAUUGCAGGCACCGCCUUCCUUCCUGCUCCAUCCAGUCGCUGACCUGGGGCAGGAGAGGCAGAUUUGGACAUGAGGGGCUGCUAGGAGACCUCCCUUGUCCAGCUCCCCCACUUCCUUGCAGGCUGAGGUCUUCUGUCUUCACUCAUUCAGUGGCUAGGCCUGUGACCACUGGCUUGGACUGAAAUUCUCCCAAUUCUGGGCGUGGGAAGAAAUGACUUGGGGAGGGGGAGUGUGUGGUCAUGUUCUUCAAAGCGGGACCCUGGAGGGCAUCUGGCCUGGCCAACGCCCUCAGUGCACAGUUAUCUGAAUGAAGGCACAGGGUGGUGAACUUCAGGCUACUCUAACCACUCAGAGACGCCGGAUCAUAAAAGGGGUGGCCUCAGGGGUGAUGAGCUCCCUGUUCGGGUGUGUGUGUGUGUUUGUGUGCGCGUGCACAUGCAAACAGUGCUGGAGAAGAAGCUGCAGGCUGCAGAGGAAAGUCCAUGGGCCUGCUGGGAACUCACCAUGUGAACAUGAUCCAAUGUAGCACGUACUGAUAUUACCCCCCAUUCAACAAAUGAAGAUACUGAAGCACUGAAGAGUUAAACAUCUUGUCCAGGGCCACACCACGAGUAAGUGCUGGAGCCAGGAAUGAACCAGGGCUGUCUGAUGCAGGAGUGUGCCGUGCCCCACAGCUCCAGGCUGACAGGAAUGUGUUGGUUCUCGGCACCGGCAGUCAGAUGAAGCCACACCAGGUGCAGGUUCCAGAAUCAGACCCCGAGAUAUGCAACCACAAGCAGAGGGAAAAUGGAAGAGAGAAGAUGGAAGAAAAGCUUUUGACUUCCUGGAGGGUGCUUUGCUCUACCUCAGCCUCCCCAUCUGACUGCAGCUCCCCACGGGUUGCCACCCUUGCAGGGAAGAGGUGUGGCCCAGGGUGCGUGAAUAGGAUAGAAAAUCUCUGCCUGCCUGGAGAGGGAGGGACGGAGGGACGGGGACAGCCUAGGGGCUGCAGGGACCCGCUGCAGAACAAACGCCCACAGCAGCUCAUGUGGGACCACAGUGACCCCUGCUGGAGAUGCUGGUAGCUGCGGGUCUGCGGGGCCUCGGAUGGACAGGAGGGGCCUGGGCUGGUGGGGCAGGUAAGGGUGGAAGAGGCUGAGAAAGGCAGUGCCAACCCCCACCAGGCACUGAGGGGCAGGGAGAUGACCCCAUACCAGUGCUGCCCGUGCGUCCAUCUGUGUAAGCCUGCUCUCAAGUCUAGUGCAGCUCUGGGUGGUGUGUUCAAGAUUCUGGGACCAGACUGCCUGGAUUCAAGUCCGGGCCCCACCACAUCCCAGCUAUGUGACCCUGGACUAAUCACUUACCUUCUCUGAGCCUCAGGUUCCUCCACUGUAAAAUAGGCAUAAUAUCUGCAGCUACCUCGGAGUGAAUUAAGUGAGCUGGUAUUUGUAAAUCCCUGAGAAAAAUGCUGGACACAUACAAAGUGCUAUUUAGGUCUUGGUUCUGUAAACAAAAUGUUCUUAAAAGCUCAUGCAUACCAGCCCUUGACUUUGAAUAUAAGUAGCUGUGUUCUAAGAGGGUGAAAAUACUUGCAAUUACUGACCAAUUUAAUGACUGACUUUUCCCCACCCCCUAAAUUUAAGAAAGCUGGGACUUUCCAGGAAUGUCUAUAAUUUAUUCUGGCUCUGAGACCCCUGAGACACCAUGAGGUUCUCACAAGUGUGUCUGAGCAGCCUACCGGGAAAGGCAGGGCCGGGUAGGGGUUAAAUGCCCAGAAGGCCU